AUUUUGGACAUCCCACAUGACUACCUACUGUGAUUUUGGGAUAAAACUAGAGAAGAGGGAUGUGGAAAUCAUAGAAAAAAUUUUGAAAAAAAUCUAAGGAAAAAGUAAGGGAAAAUUAAGUGGCAAAAAUUGUAAGAAGGGUGGUGAGAUUUUUAGCAAGUAUUGCUUGUGUGCCCUAGGGUUUGAUUUUUUCAUAUGUUGGAGCUAAAAAUCAAAUCAUAGGUUGUGAGACAUCUGAAGAGUAUCUUUUUAGUAUUAUUUUGGUAGCA
rnacentral:lncRNA from 1 species